AUUGAACGCUGGCGGCGGGCCUAACACAUGCAAGUCGAACGAGAGGCGGACGGGUGAGCAGUGUCUGGGCAACUGCCUGAUGGAGGGGUCUAACGACUUGAAACCUUGGCUAAUACUGCUUACGACCAUAUGUGCCCAGAUUGCAUUAGCUUGUUGGUGAGGUAACGGCUCACAAAGGCGACGAUCCCUAGCUGGUCUGAGAGGAUGACCAGCCAAACUGGAACGGAGACACGGUCCAGACUCCUACGGGAGGCAGCAGUGGGGAAUAUUGCACAAUGGACGAAAGACUGAUGCAGCCAUGCCGCGUGUGUGAAGAAGGCCUUCGGGUUGUAAAGUACUUUCAGCGGGGAGGCGUUACCCGAAGAAGAAGCAACGGCUAACUACGUGCCAGCAGCCGCGGUAAUUC
rnacentral:rRNA from 1 species